CUCUGUACUAAUUUUCCUCACAGAAUGACUAACAGAAAUAUGACCCUUGUGCACCUUUUGUAGUUAAUUCAUUAGGUCAACUCUAACCACUAAGCCCCUUGUCAGGUUAUUUCUACUAGUGAUAAGGAGCAAUUGACCUUAAAACAUUGAAGCCAGGUAGAUGAGCCUAUUCCACAAGGUCUCUUGGCUCCACCCUUGUUAAGUGAAAUCUGCCAGGUGUGGAUCAUUUGACCUUUGCUAUAUAGGAAGCAUGAGGAGGUAAGGGGAGUUGCCUCAUCGGGGGAAUUUGAGGCUUAGUUUGUAUAGAGUGCUUUUCCUCUUGUGGUGAAAUGGACUCAGUGUUCCCCAGUAGGCUGCUUUUUCUUCAUGUUUUCUACUGUCUUAGUGAAAUAGUUUUAGAGACUCUAUGUGCUAGUUAUGUUGGUGGUGCCUUCUCAGUACAGUAAAACCCUGGUGAUACUACUUCACUGUGAAGCAGUUUGGAAGUGACUCAAGUUCAGAAGCCAGCAGCUCUAAAAGAACUAACGAAACAACAAUAAAACAACCAACAACCUCAGAAGCUCAAGUGCAUACAGUUGUUUUCUAUCUCCAUCUCAUUCAAAGCAGACAGGGCUGGUUUGCUUCUCUCUUCUCUGGAAAUUUGCACUAGGAACCGCUGUUAGAAUCAGAAAUCUGAUCUAAGAGCAUGAUGAAAAAUGUUGCACUCCAAGUUGGAAACUGGAGAGGAAAAUGUUCAUGUAUACAUCAGAAUUGCACUCAAACAGCUGAUUACACCUUUUCUUACACCUUUACAGAUGCUUACACCUUUUGAGGGAAAACUUUAAACCUGAGAAGCAAGAGGUAGCUUCUACGUUUCCCUGGGUUUAGUGUACUCUUCUGUAUUGUGCCUCUAUACAAACAGUUCAAAAUUUUAAAUUCAUUUUCUCAGUUAUACAACCAAGCAAGCUUGCAUGGCAUUACAUGUGUCGUCCC